AACUAUGUGCCAGCAGCUGCGGUAAUACAUAGGUCGCGAGCGUUAUUCGGAUUUAUUGGGCGUAAAGCAAGCGCAGGCGGAUGUAUAAGUUCUGUGUGAAAAGCAGCUGCUCAACAGCUGUUGGCGCCGAAUACUAUACAUCUAGAAUACGGUAGGAAGUUUUGGAAUUGAAUAUGGAGCGGUGGAAUGUGUAGAUAUAUUCAAGAACACCAGAGGCGAAGGCGAAAACUUAGGCCGAUAUUGACGCUUAGGCUUGAAAGUGUGGGGAGCAAAUGGGAUUAGAUACCCCAGUAGUCCACACCGUAAACGAUGGGUAUUAAAUUUUGGGGUUAGUGCCUCAGGGUUGUAGCUUACGUGUUAAAUACCCCGCCUGGGUAGUACAUAUGCAAAUAUGAAACUCAAAGGAAUUGACGGGGACCUGAACAAGUGGUGGAACAUGUUGCUUAAUUCGAUAAUACACGAAAAACCUUACCAAGAUUUGACAUCCCUCGCGAAGCUUUAGAGAUAAAGUCAGAGGUUAUCGAGGUGACAGGUGGUGCAUGGUUGUCGUCAGCUCGUGUCAUGAGAUGUUGGGUUAAGUCCCGCAACGAGCGCAACCCUACUCUCUAGUUGUCUGUUUAGAGAGACUGAACAGUAAUGUAUAGGAAGGUCGGGAUCACGUCAAAUCAUCAUGCCCCUUAUGUCUUGGGCUGCAAACGUGUUACAAUGGCGAGCACAGCGUGUCGCAAGCCAGCGAUGGUAAGCUAAUCACUAAAAACUCGUCUCAGUCCGGAUAAAAGGCUGCAAUUCGCCUUUUUGAAGUUGGAAUCACUAGUAAUCCCGUGUCAGCUAUAUCGGGGUGAAUACGUUCCCAGGUCUUGUACAC
rnacentral:rRNA from 1 species